rnacentral:rRNA from 1 species
GACGAACGCUGGCGGCGUGCUUAACACAUGCAAGUCGAACGGAAAGGCCCUGCUUUUGUGGGGUGCUCGAGUGGCGAACGGGUGAGUAACACGUGAGUAACCUGCCCUUGACUUUGGGAUAACUUCAGGAAACUGGGGCUAAUACCGGAUAGGAGCUCCUGCUGCAUGGUGGGGGAUGGAAAGUUUCGGCGGUUGGGGCUGGACUCGCGGGUUAUCAGCUUGUUGGUGGGGUAGUGGCUUACCAAGGCUUUGACGGGUAGCCGGCCUGAGAGGGUGACCGGCCACAUUGGGACUGAGAGACGGCCCAGACGCCUACGGGAGGCAGCAGUGGGGAAUAUUGCACAAUGGGCGGAAGCCUGAUGCAGCAACGCCGCGUGCGGGAUGACGGCCUUCGGGUUGUAAACCGCUUUCGCCUGUGACGAAGCGUGAGUGACGGUAAUGGGUAAAGAAGCACCGGCUAACUACGUG